rnacentral:misc_RNA from 1 species
AUCACGAGAAGAAAAAAUAAUAAUUAACGAAAUAUACAUAAAAAUGCCAACGACUUGUCAAUUUGAAUUUUCGCGUGCUACACCCAUUUACUACAGUGGCGAGCAAAUAAGUGGCAGUAUAAUAUUGCGUACAACAAAACGGCUCUCCGUCGAAGCAAUACAAAUCUUCUUAGUUGGCACUGAGCGCGUCGAGUGGCUGGAGAGAAAUAGAGAAGCAAUACUUUUGCAUAAUGAUAGUACUGAACAGGAUAACAAAUUGCUCUUUAGCGACAAAAGGGAGCUCUUUUGUGAGUCAUAUACGCUAGCAAAGCAUACUUGCUUGCAGGCUGGUGAAAUUUUCGCGGAAAAGUUUUCCUUUACCUUACCACAUGAAGCUCCAGCAAGUUAUAAUACGAAAUAUGGAGAGAUAUUUUACUGCGUUCGUUUGAUACUGCAGCGCACAUCAAUUUUCAACAAAGUGUUCGAAACACGCUGUAUUAUCAAAAAUCGCAUAGAUUUAUGUGCAUCGGUCGAGUUGAGUGAGCCACAAACAAUAAAAGUAGCAAAUACGAAGUCUUCCGAUGUUCAAGAAACAUCCCUCCUCUUCACCGUAUGUUCAGGCACUGGCUAUGUGCCCGGCCAGAAUAUAAUCUACACCAUAAGUGGUCGGCACAGAUUUUCAGCAUGCAAUAGAUUACGUGUAAAUCUAUGUCAGUUAAGCACUUUUCGUGCUACUAAGUCACAAAUGAAAUUGGUACAAUACCACCGAAAAGAGUGAAACUCAGUGAGUUAGAGCAGUACAUGGAAGGCGCGCAACAAAAUCACUGUUACGACAAUUUAGCUACAGAUGCAGUUGGUGACCGAUUGCAGCAAAAUAUUUAUGUAAAAGAUUAUUCUACUUUGGCAUUGGACAAUAUACCAUCUGAUUUGAUUUUAA